rnacentral:rRNA from 1 species
AUACGUAGGGGGCGAGCGUUAUCCGGAAUUAUUGGGCGUAAAGAGUACGUAGGUGGUUUUGUAAGCGUGAGGUGAAAGCCCGGGGCUUAACUCCGGCGAGCCUCACGAACUGCAAGACUUGAGUGCAGGAGGGGAAAGUGGAAUUCCUAGUGUAGCGGUGAAAUGCGUAGAUAUUAGGAGGAACACCGGUGGCGAAGGCGACUUUCUGGACUGGAACUGACACUGAGGUAGUAAAGCGUGGGGAGCAAACAGGAUUAGAUGCCCUGGUAGUCCACGCCGUAAACGAUGAGCACUAGUUGUUGGGACCGAGAGGUUUCGGUGACGCAGUUAACGCAAUAAGUGCUCCGCCUGGGGAGUACGCACGCAAGUGUGAAACUCAAAGGAAUUGACGGG